GAUGAAGAACGUAGCGAAAUGCGAUAAGUAAUGUGAAUUGCAGAAUUCAGUGAAUCAUCGAAUCUUUGAACGCACAUUGCGCCCCCUGGUAUUCCGGGGGGCAUGCCUGUCCGAGCGUCAUUACAACCCUCAAGCUCAGCUUGGUAUUGGGCCCCGCCGCUCCGGCGGGCCCUAAAGUCAGUGGCGGUGCCGUCCGGCUCCGAGCGUAGUAAUUCUUCUCGCUCUGGAGGUCCGGUCGUGUGCUCGCCAGCAACCCCCAAUUUUUUUCAGGUUGACCUCGUAUCAGGUAGGGAUACCCGCUGAACUUAAGCAUAUCAAUAAGCGGAGGA
rnacentral:misc_RNA from 1 species